rnacentral:rRNA from 1 species
CUACGGAGGGUGCUAGCGUUACUCGGAUUCACUGGGCUUAAAGCGCAUGUAGGCGGUCCCAUAAGUUUUUUGUGAAAUCCCCCGGCUCAACCGGGGAACUGCAAAGGAUACUGUGGGACUAGAGGUCGGUAGGGGAGAGUGGAACUCCUGGUGGAGCGGUGAAAUGCGUAGAUAUCAGGAGGAACACCGGUGGCGAAGGCGACUCUCUGGAACGAUCCUGACGCUGAGAUGCGAAAGCCAGGGGAGCGAACGGGAUUAGAAACCCCUGUAGUCC